UCUCUCUCUCUCUCUCUCUCUCUCUGUCUCUCUCUCUCUCUUUUUCAUUGCCAUGUCUUGAUUUACAUGAAUACGAGUGCUGGUGCUAGAGAUCCAAACUCAAGUCUAUGUACUUGUGCACCAAACCGUUCCCCAGCCCCUAAUCCAAGCAUUAAUAAAGCCUGGUAAGGGGACUUCCUUUCUGGGUCAACAGAGUAAAUUAGCCUUCUGCAGGUCAUACAGUGUAAAAACACUCCGUAAUAGUUUGCAUAUAAUUCUAAUGUUCUACUGGUAGACCCAUUCUCUCUGUGAACAUCUGUGCCUAUAUUAACAUUUUUGCAACAGAAAUUCCUUGCGUGGACAAAACAGUAAAUCCAGAUACAACAGAUGCAUAGUCUAUGACAGCGGGUACCAAGAUGAAAGCAUACUUACAUCAAUAAAAACGCUGCUGCAAGGACCUCCAUAUAAAUAUGUUUAAGAUAGUAGUGAAUUAGAUUAAAUAUAAUUACUAUAUCUUUGAGACAGGUUCUUGCUGUGAAGUCCAAACAGGCAAUCCUCCUGCUUCAACCUCCUAGGAUUACAAGACUACCACUAUGCCAAGCUUAAAUUACUUUUUGGAUAAAUGUUUAUAUUUAUUAGAUUGUUUAAAAAAAACAACUCUGAGAUAUAAAAAGCAUUUUCAGCUUAGAAUGGCUUAAACUGUAUUUACAAUACAAAUUUCAGAAAAGACGUUUUCUCUUUCUACCCUGGUCCAUGGCGAACCUCUUCUGAAGCAGCAUCCCAUUGGUUCUAGCUCACAAUUUCCAGUGGUAGAGGUGAAAGCUGAGAACUGAGGCUGUUUGUACUAAUAUAUAGUGACUAUUUACAUAGUCAUUCAGCUUGAAACUGUGCCUGGGACAGGCUGGGGACACGGUGGUGAUUAAGAGCUAACAUGGAAUUUGACCUCUUAGUGGUGAGGAGGCAAGCAAACAAACUCACACCUGAGGUUUUUUUCCAUGGACUGACUGCUCAUCAGAAGACUUAGCCUGCCUCAGUGUUUUACCCACCAGAGGGAUUUCUGCUGCAGAAAUGAGCACUCUAAACAAAAGGAAGCCAAGCCACCUGUCAGUGAGCAGCUAGCUGGUCUAAUAUGGGAGUCGCCUACGUCUUUGCCUCACUUCAUGGAAGAAGUCUAGUCCCAGAGGCAAAGCUCACCAGCUGACCAACAGUGGUUCAACUUCCCUGGGAGUUCCUGAGAAAGAAAGGGCCUCUGGCCCAACGUAAGACCUCUGGCUGCCAGGUAUGCAUUUCCCAUGUGUGCUAACACUUCUGGAUGCCCUUCAGAUCAACCGAUCACUCUAAUUAGGCUCAUAGGAGUGUUUUUGUUUAUUUUGAGUUUUUUUUUUCCUUUAAAAAUGUCCUGAGACAAUGACAUUGAGUAUUUAAGUUCUUAGCAUCAGGUAUUGGAAAAAGAAGGAAGAAUGGACUCUUCCUAGUAUCUGAAAUGACAGUAACCCAUUGAUACCUCGCUUUGUUUCUCUUCCUCAUGGAGGGCAUCCAGGUAUCGAGACAAGUUGCCUCAGGAAAAACACUUGAGGUAAGUGUACUUUGUGGUCCUUCUGCAUAUUCACACAAUGGGUACACUUUCAAGUUCUCUCACCUACACACACACACACACACACACACACACACACACACACACACACACUCCAAGGGUACAAUCACUUAAUACCCCCAACAAUAAUUACCAUAAAAUGCUCAAAAAAAUGAAAUUAUUAUGCCUUCAUUGAGUUUGCUUUACCAUGAACUGUUAAGGGAAUUAGUACUUUUUUGUGUGUUAUUAGAGUAAAGCAUUUUUAACUCAUUUUUGGGAUGUGCAUUGAUGUGUAUGCAUGUAUGUGUGAACAUCAUGUGUCAUGAGCUGAUCACCUUGUUUUAGGAGACAGGAUUUCUCACUGAGACCUGGGGAUCACAAGAGAACCCCUAGUCUCUCCCCAGAGCUAGGAUUACAAACACGUGCCACCAUUCCUGACUUUUUAUGUGGGUCCUGGGAUCAAACUCACAUCUUUGUGGGCUAGGAUACCUCUUUUUCAUUUUUUGACAUGUACAGGACAGUAUACCGCAGGACACUGCUACGCAACAGAUCUCCAGAAUGUCUUUUAUCUUGCGUGACUGAAACCUCAUCCCCAGUGAACUGGUAACUCAUCAGCAGCCCCUGGCCAUUGCCAUUCAACUUUCUGAUUAUGAAUUUGAUAACUUUUUAAAUACCUCAUCAUAAGUGUAAACAUGCAGUAUCUGUGUUCUGUGAUUGGCUCUUUUCACGUUGCACAAUGCCCUGUAGCAUGAUAGAGUCCAGUCUUCCCUCCCCUUCCAAAUUGAGUAGUAGUCCAUUGCAUAAACUCAUGCGCCGCUGACAGGUUACUCCCACACUUAGCUACUGUGAAUAAUGAAGCAAUAAACACAUCUAUCAUAUACUCCUCAAGACUCUUCUAUUGUAUAAGUAUGGUUGAUAAUCAGAAGUGGGAUAGCUAACUCAUAUGGUAAUUUUUCUUUUCUUUUCUUUUGAGUCGUCUACAGGAGUUUCUACAGAUCCAGUGUCUGCACUGAAAACUACUCCAACAGCACAUCUGGCCCCAAGCUCUCUCUCCACAGCCUUGCCCUUCUGCGCCAUUUUUCUCCAGGGGCCACACUAUUAAGUACACUAUUAGCUGACGGCUCCUACGGUUUUAGCUUUCAUUCCCCUGAUUAUCAGUGACGGUGAGCAUCUCUCUGGAGUCUUACUGACAAUUCAUUUAUUUUCGUCAUAGAAAGUUCUGUUCAAACCUUUCUCCAUUAAAAAAAAAGACAUUUCUGUUAUCGAGUUCUUUGAACAUUACAGCUACAUGGUUUGUAAAUGUUUUUCCCCCAUUCUAUAGACGGUCUUUGACUCUGCUUCUGUUGACUGCUUUGCUAUAACAUUUUUGAUUAAUUUCAAUCAGUAAACUAUCUAUCCACUUUAGUUCUUUA
rnacentral:sRNA from 1 species